CGUGGUGUCGGUGUCCAGCCCUCGAUACACCGUCUUGAACGAGCCACGUCCAAUCUCGAUGUCAAACUUGAGGUCUCAGGACACAGAUGGAGAGAUUUCAGUGGUGAAUACCAACAGGGAAAAAAGACCCGGGAAUUGGACUACCUAUUAUACAGAACACUAUGGGUUCCAAGCCAGGGGAGAGAAAAAAGUUGUUAAAAGCAAAGACUUGUGGGGCACCUGGCUGGCACAGCUGGUGGAGUGGGUGACUCUUGAUCUCAAGGUUGUGGGUUAGAGCCCCUCAUAGGCUAUACAGAUUACUUAAAAAUAAAAUCUUAAAAAAAAAAAAAAA